rnacentral:rRNA from 1 species
UAAUACGUAGGAGACGAGCGUUGUCCGGAAUUACUGGGCGUAAAGCGCGUGUAGGCGGAUGAGCAAGUCUGCUGUGAAAGCUCCUGGCUUAACCGGGAGUGGUCGGUGGAAACUGCUCGUCUGGAGGACGGUAGAGGUAGGUAGAAUUCCCGGUGUAGUGGUGAAAUGCGUAGAGAUCGGGAGGAAUA